GCGGGAUCCGUCCCGCCGGAAUGUGGCCCUCACGGGCUGAACCACGAA
rnacentral:ncRNA from 1 species